rnacentral:lncRNA from 1 species
AUAUCACAGUUAAUUUUUCUAAAUUUUCCUUUUUCACUAAUAUAGAUUAGAGUUAUUUGUGGGAGACCAAACAGUGAGGAUGGAGACCGAACUGACCUCUGGGAGCACAAAGGAGGAAAAGUAGCAAGCUGUGCUCCUUCGGCAGCAUGCAGGCGCCCUGGCAUACGGCGGGUACUAAGGAAGAACCAACACAGCUGAGCUCCAGUACCUUUAAGGAAAAUGGUAUAAGCUUCGUGAUGACUCCUGCCUAGAGUCUGAAGAAGAGACCAGAUGACCCCUAGGAGAUCCAAUCAUAACAGUCCAAGAAGCCAAUUCAGC